rnacentral:rRNA from 1 species
CUACGGGCGGCACCAGUGGGGAAUAUUGCACAAUGGAGGAAACUCUGAUGCAGCAACGCCGCGUGGAGGAUGACACUUUUCGGAGCGUAAACUCCUUUUAUAUAGGAAGAAGAUGACGGUACUAUAUGAAUAAGCGCCGGCUAACUCCGUGCCAGCAGCCGCGGUAAUACGGAGGGCGCAAGCGUUACUCGGAAUCACUGGGCGUAAAGAGCGUGUAGGCGGAUUAAAAAGUCAGAAGUGAAAUCCUAUAGCUUAACUAUAGAACUGCUUCUGAAACUCUUAAUCUAGAAUAUGGGAGAGGUAGAUGGAAUUUCUGGUGUAGGGGUAAAAUCCGUAGAGAUCAGAAGGAAUACCGAUUGCGAAGGCGAUCUACUAGAACAUUAUUGACGCUGAGACGCGAAAGCGUGGGGAGCAAACAGGAUUAGAUACCCGCGUAGUC